GCGACAGAAACGUGGCAGGCAGGAACGAGAAGAGACAAGCCGUCUCCAUCGCUCAGCACGACGACCGGCCUGCUACGGCCCCCACUUCAGCAUCCGACACGGCGAGACGGGGUAUCACGGGGAACGACGGCGACGUGACUGUCUGGCAGAACGAGCGUCUCCAAAAGUCUAUCCCCAGGAUUUCCUGAAAAGCUGAGAAAAUCUGCACUGGCACAAGAAUACAAUAAGUCGACAAGUGAGGAUCUCCACUGCACUGGAAGAUCCGGACAGCAAACUGCAAUUACAGAUAACUUUCACUGGCCAAAGUGUAAAUAGAAAUGUACUGAAAUGAUACUAUUUGCCUUCAUAUGCUUUUAAUCUAAUAUUCCUCUUUGUUUCAUAUUAAUCAUUGCCCCCCACCCCCCCAUUAAAAUUCUGCCAUUAAAACUUGGGGGGUUAUACAGCCAUGUGACAGUACGGCAGCAGUAACUGAUACCUGUAGGUCCUCAGUAAUUCAGCAUACGCAUCAGUAUCAAAAUUCCUGCAUAAAAACAUGUUAGACAAGGAGAAUCUGCUAGUUUCAAACAUCAGUUAACAGGGAGUAAAAAGCGGUAUAUUCAGGGUGAUUGUAAGUUAUUCCUAUACAUAAACCAGGCUUUGCCAGGCUGGUGUACGUACAUAUCUAUAUACUGUACACACACA